GCACCAUGGUUGGUUCAUCAUGCCAGGAUUCAUGGGCCAGGGAUCCAUGGGCAGGGGACCCGCGGGUAGCAGCAAGAAUGAGGACGGAGAGAGCAGCUGCAGGGACCUUCAUCUCCCCAGUGUGCAGACAGCUCUGGCCUGAGGAUCCUGGCUUCUU